rnacentral:rRNA from 1 species
CCUACGGGAGGCAGCAGUGGGGAAUCUUGCGCAAUGGGCGAAAGCCUGACGCAGCAACGCCGCGUGCGGGAAGAAGGCUUUCGGGCUGUAAACCGCUUUCAGCAGGAACGAAAAUGACGGUACCUGCAGAAGAAGGAGCGGCCAACUAUGUGCCAGCAGCCGCGGUGAUACAUAGGCUUCAAGCGUUGUCCGGAUUUAUUGGGCGUAAAGAGUUCGUAGGCGGUCGAGUAAGUCGGGUGUGAAAAUUCUGGGCUCAACCCAGAGACGCCACCCGAUACUGCUUAACUUGAGUUCGAUAGGGGAGUGGGGAAUUCCUAGUGUAGCGGUGAAAUGCGCAGAUAUUAGGAGGAACACCGGUGGCGAAGGCGCCACUCUGGAUCGAUACUGACGCUGAGGAACGAAAGCAUGGGUAGCAAACAGGAUUAGAUACCCUGGUAGUCCAUGCCGUAAACGGUGGGCACUAGGUGUGGGAUUCUAUUAACGAAUUCCGCGCCGUCGCUAACGCAUUAAGUGCCCCGCCUGGGGAGUACGGUCGCAAGACUAAAACUCAAAUGAAUUGACGGCUGAGACGNGCCGACGACGACGACGAGGGAGUAGG